rnacentral:lncRNA from 10 species
UAGUCCCAGCUGCUUGGGAGGCUGAGGCAGGAGAAUUGCUUGAACCCGGAAGGCGGAGGUUGCAGUGAGCUGAGAUCGCACCACUGCACUGCAGCCUGGCGACAGAGCAAGACGCUGUCUCAAAACAAAACGAAACAAACAAAAACAUCGCGACCAAAUGGGUUUUAUUCCAGGAAAUGCAAAUGUAUGUGUCAAACACCAAAAUCUCAGUGGCUUAACACCAAGUAUAUUUCUUAUGCUGCAUGUUCAGUAAAUACCAGUAUGGUGGAGUGUGGGGAGGGGGUGAUGCAUUGCUGUGGAUAAUUAAUUACUCCACACCAUCUUAUGAUCCUUCCUUCUCAACGCAAAGCAAGGAAAGAGAACAUCAAGCGUUAAGUCCUGGCUCCCAAAUGUGCCACCCAGAACAUAUCCACCACGAGUACUCAAAUUUCACUGGCCAAAGCAGGUCAUUUAGCCAUGUUUAAUUUCUUAGUAUUUCAUUUUUAGUUAUUUAGUAUUUCUAUUUAUUUAUGACUGUAUGCCCUUGUGUGUGUGUGUGUGUGUGUGUGUGUGUGUGUGUAUGGUGGUGGUUCUAGGAAUUACAAUAUAUAUCCUUAAAAUAUUACACUCUGGGGGGUCGCAGGCAAAAAAAAAUUACAGUCUGCCAUUAAUUAAUUCUACAAUACUUCACAUACAAUGUCAGAAUGCUACCAUAACAGUAUAACUCUGUUUCCCCUCGGUUGGUCUUUUGUGGUAUUGUCAUGUAUUUUAUCUACUAUUAUGUUGUGAAUCCCAUAACAGUAUGAAUUUUUUUUAUGUAGUAGUCUUCUAGAGAAAUGUAAAAAGAUGGUCUUGGUUGGGUGUGGUGGCUCACCCCUGUGAUCCCAGCACUUUGGGAGGCCAAGAUGAGAGGACUGCUUGAGCUCAGGAGUUCAAGACCAACCUGGGUAACAUAGCAAGACCCUGUCUCUAUUAAAAAACAAACAAAUGCCUGGCGUGGUGGCUCAUGCCUGUAAUCCC